AGAGUUUGAUCCUGGCUCAGAUUGAACGCUGGCGGAAUGCUUUACACAUGCAAGUCGAACGAUGAACCUUAGCUUGCUAAGGGGAUUAGUGGCGAACGGGUGAGUAAUAUAUCGGAACGUACCUUGUAAUGGGGGAUAACUAGUCGAAAGAUUAGCUAAUACCGCAUACGCCCUGAGGGGGAAAGUAGGGGAUCUUCGGACCUUACGUUAUAAGAGCGGCCGAUAUCUGAUUAGCUAGUUGGUGGGGUAAUGGCCUACCAAGGCGACGAUCAGUAGCUGGUCUGAGAGGACGACCAGCCACACUGGAACUGAGACACGGUCCAGACUCCUACGGGAGGCAGCAGUGGGGAAUUUUGGACAAUGGGCGCAAGCCUGAUCCAGCCAUUCCGCGUGAGUGAAGAAGGCCUUCGGG
rnacentral:rRNA from 1 species